rnacentral:rRNA from 1 species
CCCUUAGAUGUCCGGGGCCGCACGCGCGCUACACUGAAGGAAUCAGCGUGGCUUUCUCCCUGACCCGAAAGGGUUGGGAAACCCGUUGAAUCUCCUUCGUGAUAGGGAUUGGGGCUUGAAAUUGUUCCCCAUGAACGAGGAAUUCCCAGUAAGCGCGAGUCAUAAGCUCGCGUUGAUUACGUCCCUGCCCUUUGUACACACCGCCCGUCGCUACUACCGAUUGAACGGUUUAGUGAGGGCCUCGGAUUGGUCUCGGCCCGCUCUUUACCGGGCGGCGCCGUUGGUCGAGAAGACGCUCGAACUUGAUCGUUUAGAGGAAGAAAAAGUCGUAACA